rnacentral:tRNA from 1 species
GUCUUUGUGGUGUAACGGUAACACACUCGGCGUAUAUCCGAGAGGUGCAGGUUCGAGUCACGGCGAGGGCA